UACAGAGGUCUCAAGCGUUGUUCGGAUUCAUUGGGCGUAAAGGGUGCGUAGGUGGCGCGGUAAGUCGGGUGUGAAAUUUCGGAGCUUAACUCCGAAACUGCAUUCGAUACUGCCGUGCUUGAGGACUGGAGAGGAGACUGGAAUUUACGGUGUAGCGGUGAAAUGCGUAGAUAUUGUAAGGAAGACCAGUGGCGAAGGCGGGUCUCUGGACAGUUCCUGACGCUGAGGCACGAAGGUCAGGGGAGCAAACGGG
rnacentral:rRNA from 1 species